GACGAACGCUGGCGGCGUGCUUAACACAUGCAAGUCGAACGGAAAGGCCCCUUUGGGGGUCCUCGAGUGGCGAACGGGUGAGUAACACGUGAGUAACCUGCCCUUGACUUCGGGAUAACUUCAGGAAACUGGGGCUAAUACCGGAUAGGAAUCCUUGCUGCAUGGUGGGGGUUGGAAAGCUUCGGCGGUUUUGGAUGGACUCGCGGCUUAUCAGCUUGUUGGUGGGGUAGUGGCUUACCAAGGCUUUGACGGGUAGCCGGCCUGAGAGGGCGACCGGCCACAGUGGGACUGAGAUACGGCCCAGACUCCUACGGGAGGCAGCAGUGGGGAAGAUUGCACAAGGGGCGGAAGCCUGAUGCAGCAACGCCGCGUGCGGGAUGACGGCCUUCGGGUUGUAAACCGCUUUCAGCAGGGGCGAAGCUUGUGGUGACGGUACCUGCAGAAGAAGCACCGGCUAACUACGUG
rnacentral:rRNA from 1 species